rnacentral:rRNA from 1 species
CCUACGGGAGGCAGCAGUGGGGAAUAUUGGGCAAUGGAGGCAACUCUGACCCAGCAACGCCGCGUGAAUGAUGAAGGUCUUCGGAUUGUAAAGUUCUGUGAUGGGGGAUGAACACAAUGACGGUACCCCAAUAGCAAGCCACGGCUAACUACGUGCCAGCAGCCGCGGUAAUACGUAGGUGGCAAGCGUUAUCCGGAAUGACUGGGGGUAAAGGGUGCGUAGGUUGUUUAGUAAGUUGGCGGUGUAAUUCCGGGGCUCAACCUCGGCGCUACCGCCAAAACUAGUAGACUAGAGUGCAGGGGGGGUAAGUGGAAUUCCUGGUGUAGCGGUGGAAUGCGUAGAUAUUAGGAGGAACAUCAGGGGCGAAGGCGACUUACUGGACUGUAACUGACGCUGAGGCACGAAAGCGUGGGGAGCAAACAGGAUUAGAUACCCCAGUAGUC